UACGUAGGGGCCAAGCGUUGUCCGGAUUUACUGGGCGUAAAGAGCGCGCAGGCGGUCGUUCAAGUCGCGUGUGAAAGCCCCCGGCUCAACUGGGGAGGGUCACGCGAUACUGAUCGACUGGAAGGCAGGAGAGGGUAGUGGAAUUCCCGGUGUAGUGGUGAAAUGCGUAGAUAUCGGGAGGAACACCAGUGGCGAAGGCGACUACCUGGCCUGUUCUUGACGCUGAGGCGCGAAAGCUAGGGGAGCAAACAGG
rnacentral:rRNA from 1 species